UACGAAGGGGGCUAGCGUUGCUCGGAAUCACUGGGCGUAAAGCGCACGUAGGCGGAUUGUUAAGUCAGGGGUGAAAUCCUGGAGCUCAACUCCAGAACUGCCUUCAAUACUGGCGAUCUAGAGUCCGGAAGAGGUGAGUGGAACUCCUAGUGUAGAGGUGGAAUUCGUAGAUAUUAGGAAGAACACCAGUGGCGAAGGCGGCUCACUGGUCCGGUACUGACGCUGAGGUGCGAAAGCGUGGGGAGCAAACAGG
rnacentral:rRNA from 1 species